UACAGGGGGGGGCGAGCGUUUGUCCGGAAGUUAUUGGGCGUAAAGAGCUUGUAGGCGGUUUGUCGCGUCUGCUGUGAAAAUCCGAGGCUCAACCUCGGACUUGCAGUGGGUACGGGCAGACUAGAGGUGUGGUAGGGGAGACUGGAAUUCCUGGUGUAGCGGUGAAAUGCGCAGAUAUCAGGAGGAACACCGAUGGCGAAGGCAGGUC
rnacentral:rRNA from 1 species